GGAGCAGACAUAGCUCAGUAGUUAGAGCAGCUGCUUUUCAUGUAGAAGGUCCCAGGUUCAGUUCCUGACAUCUCCA